ACCUAACCUAACCUAACCUAAUUUUUUUCACAUGGUAUGCAGAGAAAAUAAAAGGCGAAAUUUUCUGUAGAGAGAAUGAGAUUUCCUAUAAGUUUGAGAACUAUAAAUGCACAGACAAAGUAGAAGGCAAAAUAAGAGAUAUAUAGAUGCUUCGAAAAGUUUGAAUGUGGUGAUUACUGUGUGUAAUAAAGCUACAAUAAAUAAAAACGUAAUAUAAUCGUUACAACGAUGGCUUAUAUCAUGAAUAAAGCUCUGCUUUUGUGCCGACCUGCUUUUCACAAGAAUAUAAUAUAUGGUCCUUUUAACAAAAUCACCCUAGUGAAGACCUGUUAUCAUUUCACCAACAGGACAAAUGUCAAAGCUGAAGAGUAUUUAAAGCGUAAAGACAAUAUAAGUAAUGAUUAUAAACUUAUAUACAGAGAUGAAACGAAUCUUAUCAUAUGUGUUAGUUUUGCAUAUCAUUGUGGAUGGAUAGGCACUAUUGCUAUCUUGCUUUCUGCAGUCUAUAUCAUUUUGAGAGAUCCACCAAAAGAAGAGGAAGUAGUUGUAGGUUUAUUUCGCCAACCAUACAAGCUUCCUAGCGACCCGAUUAAGUUAAUUGCAUCAUGCUGUGGACUUAUUAUGUGUAGUGUCAUUUUAUAUGUCAGCAGAAUAUUUCCAUUUAGAAUUUAUCACAAUCAGAAAGAAAAAUUAUACAAAGCUGUGUUUGCCAGUAUUAUGGGAACAAAAAAAAUAGUAACAUUUGGCGAAGGCACUGCGGUGCAAAAAUAUAAACAUAAAUAUUUCAAAGAUCUUUAUGAUAUUAAUGGUCAUACCAUUCUACUUGAGGAGGAAAGUUUUCCAGUGCCGUUUGUACGUGAGCAAAUGAUUUGCAAAUCUAAAUAAAACUCCACUAUAUUUCUUUA